ensembl:lncRNA
AUAACCAUUUUAAGCAACAAAAAUGGAACAAAAGUGAGUAUUUGAGACAAGAGAGAUCGGAAGGUGUAAAAGUGAGAGUGGCGCUGGAAUACACCAAGAACAGGUCAGAUCAAUGCCCUCAACCACCCAGGAACUCAUAAGGAACUGACGUGCAUGGCACCAGUAAAAAUGCCCCAACAUUGAAUGGCAGGGGACUUAGUCUCCAUGUCUUGGUGGCAAUGAUUA